rnacentral:rRNA from 1 species
ACGUAGGUGGCAAGCGUUGUCCGGAAUUAUUGGGCGUAAAGCGCGCGCAGGCGGAUAGGUCAGUCUGUCUUAAAAGUUCGGGGCUUAACCCCGUGAUGGGAUGGAAACUGCCAAUCUAGAGUAUCGGAGAGGAAAGUGGAAUUCCUAGUGUAGCGGUGAAAUGCGUAGAUAUUAGGAAGAACACCAGUGGCGAAGGCGACUUUCUGGACGAAAACUGACGCUGAGGCGCGAAAGCCAGGGGAGCGAACGG